rnacentral:rRNA from 1 species
AUUGAACGCUGGCGGCAGGCUUAACACAUGCACGUCGAGCGAGCGGCGGACGGGUGAGUAAUGUCUGGGCCACUGCCUGAUGGAGGGGGAUAACUACUGGAAACGGUAGCUAAUACCGCAUACCAUCAGCUGUGCCCAGCUGGGAUUAGCUAGUAGGUGGGGUAAUGGCUCACCUAGGCGACGAUCCCUAGCUGGUAUGAGAGGCUGAACAGACACACUGUAACUGAGACACGGUCCAGACUCCGACGGGAUGCAGGAGUGGGGAAUAUGGAACAAUGGGCGCAAGCCUGAUGCAGCCAUGCCGCGUGGAUGAAGAAGGCCUUCGGGGUGUAAAGUACUUUCAGCGGGGAGGCGUUAGCCGCAGAAGAAGCACCGGCUAACUCCGUGCCAGCCGCCGCGGUAAUUC